CACAUAUAUACAUUCCUUUUUAUAUUCUUUUCCAUUAUGGUUUAUCAAGUAUAUUAAAUAUAGUUCCCCAUGCUAUACAGUGUUAUUAUUAUUAAAUUUUUGUAGGAAAUGACCAAGUGCACUCCUGGACACUCGUCACCAGCCAAGCCUUAGAUACCGCGUGGAGAGUAGGAAAGGGGUCAGUGACACUGGCAGUUUCAUUUCUGGUGGGCACCCUCUGCUACUUCAGAAGGCUACAUUUAUAUUUAGGGCACCGGCUGAAAAGGUGGAUUGGAUAUCUGCAGAGGAGAUUCAAAAGGAACGUCAGUGUGGAGGCAGAAGUUGAUUUACUCAGUUAUUGUGCAAGAGAAUGGAAAGGAGAGACACCCCAUGCCAAGCUGAUGAGGAAGGUGUGUCUGUUUAUACAGCUCGUGGUGGGUGGAGAAUUUGUGUGUAAAAAUCGGGAAACACGCAUUCCAUUCUGCUUUACGAAAUGUGGCACCAAGAACAACUGUGGCUCUAAUUAAAAGCCAAAGAGCUGCUAGACAUUGCCU